ensembl:lncRNA
UUUGACAGUCUUGUUUUAGGAACAACUGUGUCCUUUUCAGACACUGUAGUUUUGGAUCUAGCUAACGUUAUAGCCGAGAAGCUAGCGUUAGCGCUUAAGCUAACGGCUAACUUAGUUAACGUUAGUCAAUGUUUGCCUGUGUUCCAACCAGCGUCACCGUGCAUUUAUAAUUGUGAAGUUAGAAAACGUAUUGGUAUCCAAAGUUUCCUUUCUAGGCUUUCUAUGUUUUGAGUUUUACACGACGGGUUGUGUAGCUGAGAUGAACCACGUUUCGUGGCUAAAGCUAACUAGCUUGCCUCAAGUGUUUUUGUCGCACGCGGGCAUUGCUGACUGCAUGUUGAUUGAUGAAGAAGGGGUGAGAGUGAUGAGUUGCACUAAUCAGUUGGGGCGUUUGAUGCAGUGGCAUCGAUGCCCCGAUCCGACCCGACCUGAGGACACACUGUGUGCACAGGGGCCAUCUGACUCAACCCUUCCGCUCUUUUCCAAGAAAGGAUAAAAGGAUUCUUGUUUAGGGACAGGGAUCGACUGUUUGCAUGGCUGACCUGCCUGGUUUCUAUGGUUUUGUGUCCUUAGCGGGUGCUGCUGCUGACUGUCCUGAAAUCCAUGCGUUGCAGCAAGAUGGGAGCGGAUGGAUUCGCCUCAGGGUCGAACGUGAAGCAGGAAUUCCGGCCAACUGCCAUGAAAUUCACACCUCUCAGAAAGAUGAGCGGGUGGAGCUGCCUCGCAAUCACAACUUGAAAAGCAAGUGUGAGGAUGUCAUGCUGUGGAUUUUCUCAGGCUUCUCCCUCCCAGAGUCCACCAUCAGCGCACUGACCUUGGAGGGCAGCGCCUUCAUUCCUGAAGGCCGACUAGAAAAACCCUUGCAGAUCCACAGCAGCAGCCCCUGGUACAGCUACAGGACCCCCACCCGCUGCACAGGUGGCGUGUCCUUGAUGCCCGAGCGGCUGCAGUAUUGACCCGAUACGGGGAGGACGUUCCUG